AAUGAACGCUGGCGGCGUGCCUAACACAUGCAAGUCGCACGAGAGAGUCCCAGCUUGCUGGGGCAAGUAAAGUGGCGCACGGGUGAGUAACGCGUGGGUAAUCUACCUCCGAAUUGGGGAUAACACUGCGAAAGCGGUGCUAAUACCGAAUGACAUCCCCGGGACUCCGGUCUUGGUGAUCAAAGGUGGCCUCUACAUGUAAGCUAUCGUUUGGAGAUGAACCCGCGUACCAUUAGCUAGUUGGUAGGGUAACGGCCUACCAAGGCUGCGAUGGUUAGCUGGUCUGAGAGGAUGAUCAGCCACACUGGAACUGACACACGGUCCAGACUCCUACGGGAGGCAGCAGUGAGGAAUUUUGCGCAAUGGGGGAAACCCUGACGCAGCAACGCCGCGUGAGUGAUGAAGGCUUUCGGGUCGUAAGGCUCUGUCAAGUGGGAAGAACCUGCUUUGUGAUAAUACCACGAAGCACUGACGGUACCACUGAAGGAAGCACCGGCUAACUCCGUGCCAGCAGCCGCAGUAAUAC
rnacentral:rRNA from 1 species